rnacentral:rRNA from 1 species
GAUGAACGCUGGCGGCGUGCCUAAUACAUGCAAGUCGAGCGAACAGACGAGGAGCUUGCUCCUCUGACGUUAGCGGCGGACGGGUGAGUAACACGUGGAUAACCUACCUAUCAGACUGGGAUAACUUCGGGAAACCGGAGCUAAUACCGGAUAAUAUAUUGAACCGCAUGGUUCAAUAGUGAAAGACGGUUUUGCUGUCACUUAUAGAUGGAUCCGCGCCGCAUUAGCUAGUUGGUAAGGUAACGGCUUACCAAGGCAACGAUGCGUAGCCGACCUGAGAGGGUGAUCGGCCACACUGGAGCUGAGACACGGUCCCGAAUCCUACGGGAGGCAGCAGUAGGGAAGCUUCCGCAAUGGGCGAAAGCCUGACGGAGCAACGCCGCGGGAGUGAUGAAGGUCGUCGGAUCGUAGAACUCUGUUAUUAGGGAAGAACAAAUGUGUAAGUAACUAUGCACGUCUUGACGGUACCUAAUCAGAAAGCCACGGCUAACUACGUG